rnacentral:rRNA from 1 species
UACGAAGGGGGCUAGCGUUGCUCGGAAUCACUGGGCGUAAAGGGUGCGUAGGCGGGUCUUUAAGUCAGGGGUGAAAUCCUGGAGCUCAACUCCAGAACUGCCUUUGAUACUGGGGAUCUCGAGUCCGGAAGAGGUGAGUGGAACUCCGAGUGUAGAGGUGAAAUUCGUAGAUAUUCGGAAGAACACCAGUGGCGAAGGCGACUUACUGGACACAUAUUGACGCUGAGGUGCGAAAGCGUGGGGAGCAAACAGG